CUACUUAGGUGCUCCCGACGAAUUCCUCCCUCCGACACCCCCGAAACCCUCGACCCUGUCACCGCCUCCGCUGCUAUAGCGGAUCCCCUCCUCCUCCCUACCCCUUCGCUGCUGCAGGACUCUGGUCGAUAGCGGUGGAGAGCGGCUGCGGAGCGAGAUCCUUGACCUCGUUAAUGGCGACGGCGCCUCCGAGAGCCCCAAUGAUGGCUCGGCACCGAGCUCGAGCCUCACUUCGGAGCAACUCAACUCCUGAGAGAUCACUAUCCUAGGAUUUCGCUUGAAUCGGCGGCUACGAGCUCCCCCCGUGACCCGGUGCGGCUGCUUCACCACGGAUCCUGUUGGAAUUGAUCGCAGGCAAUCAGCAAAGAGAUGGGUUUGCUAACAAUUUUGAAGUUAUCCUAAGCUUCAAACAUAUCUAAACAUGUCUCAUGUAGCUUCAUCUUAUGUUGUGAAGGGUACUCAACAAUCCUUGAAGAAUUAAAGGAAAAUCCGGAGGGCCCGUUUGGUUCAGAUUAUGUAGCAUUACAGGUUAUCUCGAUAUAACCAGAUAUCUGAGAUUUUUGAAUUAGAUUAUUACAGAUACUACAUUACAGCGUUUGGUUUAAUGCGGUAUUGUAAUGUUAGAUUAUAAUGUAUAUUGAAUUAUUAUGUUUGGUUCAGUUUAUAAAAUUUAGUAAUUCUGACAGUAAA